GACGGAGGAGGCUAGCGUUGUUCGGAAUUACUGGGCGUAAAGCGUACGCAGGCGGUUGAUCAAGUCAGGUGUGAAAGCCCGGGGCUCAACCUCGGAAUUGCGCCUGAGACUGGUCAGCUAGAGUUCGGAAGAGGAGAGUGGAAUUCCCAGUGUAGAGGUGAAAUUCGUAGAUAUUGGGAAGAACACCAGUGGCGAAGGCGACUCUCUGGUCCGAUACUGACGCUCAAGUACGAAAGCGUGGGGAGCAAACAGG
rnacentral:rRNA from 1 species